GGGGGGGGGGGGGGGGGUGGGGGGCACGGAUGAAAGUCGAGCCAUCCAUGUACUGCACAGGCAACUUCAGAGAAGAGGCCAAGGGAGGUCUAUUUCACUUCCAUGUUAAACCCUUUUUUUAUCUUUGGAAUUUCCUUGUACAUCAAAUUCAUAGUAUGAACUCCCAAAUCAAAUGGUUUGGUACAUUGCGCUUUUAUUUCACAUACCGUAAAUAUCCUGUCACUUAACAAAAGCUAAUAUAAAUUUGUUAUUACCUAUGUUAUUCUCCGCCGCAUCUACAAGGAAUGGUGUAUAUGUGUAUGAUAAUGUUAAUCACCACCGGAUACUUGUACAUGCUCUUUUAAUAUUUUCUUGUAGUAUAUAAAUAGAAGCAAGAUUUGUGUCUUUCAUGAUUAUGUAUUUUGCUACCAGAGAACCUAAUUACACGCCAGGGUCUUAUAUAAUAGAAAUGAUCUCCAUUAUGAUAACAUUUCCCAAAGUUUAUUUUCUCUAAGUAGAUUUUUUCAUGACAAAUACCUGUACCAAUAAGAGCAUGAUUUCCUCUUCAAUGUGCAAGGAUAUCACAUUUAGAGACUCCCAAAAAUAGUGUUGUGUCAAAGACGAUGUCUGCACGUCUUGGUGAAAGAUCUUCCGCUUUAGUACAAGCCGAGCUUGUGAGGGGAGUUGUUUUGUACAUUUGCUGUACAUGUUGUAUGAUAGAUUAUUGCCAAUAAAUUUGCUGCUACUCAAAUCUCCUUAUUGCCACUAGAGUAAAUUACUUUCAAAGGGCAAGGUUGGGAGCUCAUAGAAUAAUCUAGAAGGGUGGGUUGGGGCUUUUCUAUAUUCUUUUUCAAUAUUUAUUAGGGCCUCCUCGGCGGGUAGACCGGAUAGGGGGUGGGGGAAUCUUACUCUUAUUUGUGGCCUCGCAGACUGGGAGAAGAAAUGGGGGAGGGGCUUUUUCGUUCUUUUAUUUUUAGUAAUGAUAGAUAUCGGAGAUUGGGAGAAGAAAUGGGGAAUGGUCUUUUAUGGCAUCGCAGACGGGGAGAAGAAAGAUGGGCGGGCUGGGCUUUUCCCUACCUUUUUUAAAAUAAAUUAGGGUCCCCCCCACUUAGUCCUAUAGAGGGGUACAGGAUACGUUUCUUUCAACUUGUUUUGCAGGAAAAAAAAUAUAAAUUUUUCAAUUCGCAUGGAUAGGGGGCAUAGUACGCUGAAUUCCCCAUACCCGUUCAACAAUAGAAAAAAAGCCGUUUUGAUAUUAGCCCAAGGGCUAUAGGGGAAAUAAAAAGUUCAAGUUGUUAUAUUAACAACGAAACUUUAAUCCGAAACUAUAUGCGGCUGCGUAUAGUACGGUGAGUACUGGGUAUUCAUGUCUAUAACACCUCCAGCUUCUUUCAAAACACCACUCUAGUGUUUAGUUCCUAAAACGAGAAUAUAAAAGGUUUAUUUCCUGUGAAUACGAGGACAUCCUCCCAAGCGUCCAAUCAGAGCGCGCUUACAAUUAUUACCAUAUUCAAGAAAACUGAAAAUUAGUAAGAAAUUCCUUGUUUGCAUUUCCUGUUCUCAACCCUUUUUUAACCUUUUUUUUUUCAACGUGUUCCGUUAACCAGCGCAGGUAGUCCAGAAGAAUCAAAUGGGAAACAUUCGCGAGAGAACGAGCCAAUCCUGGCGCAGAGGAUCGUUCGCUAUUUCGAUAUCCGGAAUUUGGAUAGAUGAGAACAACAUUCACACUGGCCCCUAUUCCUUUUUCGAAAAUGGAUGUCAAAGAUAAAGAGAGGGUCUCAGCUUUUAAUGGGCGAAUAUUUGAGAAUACAACCAAACCCGUUACCUUUCUACAAAUUCAAAACGAAUUAGAACGAAUAAUAUCUACCGAAAAAAAACACGAAAGUGGGUGAUGGAGGUUAAUGCGUUGAUAAGGAGUAAUGGUUAUACUGCUCCUUUAAACAAUGCAUGCGUGAAUAUUACUAAGGCUUUCCGAGCACAGAACAUAGGCGACGUGAGGACAUCUAGAGCUGCCGUGAAAUAUACUUCAAUUGCUAACAAGAUGGGGACAACUUUGGGCGCUAGAAUGACGGUGUCAAACGCUCAGCACGUUUCAGUUCAGCCGGCAGAAAAUAGCUCUAGGUCACCAAGACUCGAACGAGGUAGCCUAAGAUCGACCCGAAAUACACACGGCAGCAGUAACGAUACGUUAUGCGCUAUUGGCGAAGUCGAGCAACUCCCUGGCGCAAGUAUUGAGGAUGAGCAGAAACGCGCCGUCUUUGUGUGUCGAUGGGCAGCAUGUGAGCAUUCGGAGGGUACAGCGGAUCAAAUUUUUCAUCAUAUCAUAAGGACGCACUUGAAAAACACCACAGACUGGGAGAGCGUGAGAUGCCAGUGGCGGGGGUGCUCGAGAGAUGGAGUACUGCGAGUGAUUAAAGACCGGUAUAAAGUGUUAAUGCACGCUGCUAUCCACUGCCAGAGACUUAAAUAGCAGACGCGCCAGGAAGAUCAACACCCCACCCCUUUAACACAAACAGCCGAGGAUGUUCCUAAACGAAAGUCCACAGGACAGGGUUUUCUGGGUUUGCAGAGGUUUUUCUUCCGGAGGAGAAGAACAAGGGACCAAAAGCCCCAGUAGGGCCAGUAGCGACACACAAUAAAGUCUACAGCGACCAAAUUCCGGCGCACUACAUAUGCUUUUGAGCUGGUGUUCGUAUUUCCCUAGUGUAUGGUUUGAUUUUAAACAAUUUCACGGAUAGUUAAUGCCAUAAAAGGCUUACAGUCGUAGAAAUGACAAUUUCUGUUUGACUAAGCACAGAAAGUUUGUUGCCUUUUUCAAGAGGGGU